rnacentral:rRNA from 1 species
GACGAACGCUGGCGGCGUGCUUAACACAUGCAAGUCGAACGGAAAGGCCCUGCUUGCCGGGUGCUCGAGUGGCGAACGGGUGAGUAACACGUGGGUGAUCUGCCCCUUACUUUGGGAUAAGCCUGGGAAACUGGGUCUAAUACUGGAUAGGACCAUGCUGUAGGUGGUGUGGUGGAAAGAUUAGUUUCGGUAAGGGAUGAGCUCGCGGCCUAUCAGCUUGUUGGUGGGGUAAUGGCCUACCAAGGCGUCGACGGGUAGCCGGCCUGAGAGGGUGGACGGCCACAUUGGGACUGAGAUACGGCCCAGACUCCUACGGGAGGCAGCAGUGGGGAAUAUUGCACAAUGGGCGCAAGCCUGAUGCAGCGACGCCGCGUGGGGGAUGACGGCCUUCGGGUUGUAAACUUCUUUCAGCCAUGACGAAGCCCUUGUGGUGACGGUAGUGGUAGAAGAAGCACCGGCUAACUACGUG